AUUUUGCAAUAGUGAUUGAAGUGGAAAUCCUUUUUAGAUUGGAUUCAUUUCAAGAAGAUGAUUAUAUUUCCAAUCUAAAAAGAUUGGGAACGUGAAACCACAGUGCGAA
rnacentral:sRNA from 12 species